rnacentral:rRNA from 1 species
GACGAACGCUGGCGGCGUGCUUAACACAUGCAAGUCGAACGGAAAGGCCCUGCUUUUGUGGGGUGCUCGAGUGGCGAACGGGUGAGUAACACGUGAGUAACCUGCCCUUGACUUUGGGAUAACUUCAGGAAACUGGGGCUAAUACCGGAUAGGAGCUCCUGCUGCAUGGUGGGGGUUGGAAAGUUUCGGCGGUUGGGGAUGGACUCGCGGCUUAUCAGCUUGUUGGUGGGGUAGUGGCUUACCAAGGCUUUGACGGGUAGCCGGCCUGAGAGGGUGACCGGCCACAUUGGGACUGAGAUACGGCCCAGACUCCUACGGGAGGCAGCAGUGGGGAAUAUUGCACAAUGGGCGGAAGCCUGAUGCAGAAACGCCGCGUGCGGGAUGACGGCCUUCGGGUUGUAAACCGAUUUCGACUGUGACGAAGCGUGAGUGACGGUAAUGGGUAAAGAAGCACCGGCUAACUACGUG